UGGGGUAUAGCCAAGCGGUAAGGCAUCGGCCUCUGACUCCGACAUUCCUUGGUUCGAUCCCAAGUACCCCAGCCA
rnacentral:tRNA from 1 species